rnacentral:lncRNA from 1 species
ACUCCCUUUUUUCUCAUUUUUCCAACGUGGGCCUCAGCUGGGCUUUCUGGAUACUGGUUGCACCUUCAGAUUCAGCCAUAGCAAGAGGAAAUGCCACCUGCCCCCUGUCCUGUCACUGACCUGGCAGCGGCCUCAUGGGCCAGGAUUACUGCAGCAACUUCCGCCAUUUAGAAAUACGUGAUUUUGGCUGGGUGCAUUGACUCACACCUGUAAUCCCAACACUGUGGGAGUCCAGACGGUCGGAUCACUUGAGGUCAGGAGUUCAAGACCAG